AAAAACACACACCGAAUACCAUCAAGGACCGUUUUCCUGAACACGGUUAAGCAAACAACAAUUCCAUAGCUUGAGCUGGAAUGUGUCAGAACAUCCUUCUACACUAGAAGAGGAGCAGGAAAACAUCAUUGUCCAUGGAGGGAUUUCUUCAGCAAAGAGACGUGUCAGGUCUCUGACCUUUUGGAGGGUGAAGAGUGAACUGUCCCUGAAGACCCAGGGCUCUUGGAGUGUAGGACGUUCCACCUGUGGAUGGAAGCAGCAGGGCCCUAGAAUCAGAUGAAAGAUUUUCAGCCCUUUUGGCUUUUAGGAUCUGACACCCCAUUCUCUCAAUGCACCCCUUUCUCUCAAGUCACAUCAUGUUAAAGCACGAUUACGGAGAAACAGAGGAUCCCAGCACAGAAGAGUUAAGAAGUAAUAUGCGGUUGAAUGCCAGCCAUUAAGUUGUAGCCCGUGG